AGAACGAACGCUGGCGGCAGGCUUAACACAUGCAAGUCGAACGCUCCGCAAGGGGAGUGGCAGACGGGUGAGUAACGCGUGGGAACAUACCCCUCGGUUCGGAAUAACUCAGGGAAACUUGAGCUAAUACCGGAUACGGUCGAGAGGCGAAAGAUUUAUCGCCGAGGGAUUGGCCCGCGUCCGAUUAGCUAGUUGGUGAGGUAAUGGCUCACCAAGGCGACGAUCGGUAGCUGGUCUGAGAGGAUGAUCAGCCACAUUGGGACUGAGACACGGCCCAAACUCCUACGGGAGGCAGCAGUGGGGAAUAUUGGACAAUGGGCGAAAGCCUGAUCCAGCCAUGCCGCGUGAGUGAUGACGGCCUUAGGGUUGUAAAGCUCUUUCGUCAGGGACAUAAUGACGGUACCUGAAGAGAAGCCCGGCUAACUUCGCGCCAGCAGCCGC
rnacentral:rRNA from 1 species